AAUUAGCCGAUGAUGUCAUACUGUAUUCUACACUCAUGGGAGCGUACAAAGACGUAACUGUUUAAGGUGAACGCAAACAUGAAAAUAUUCUCGCUAUUCAACUUGGAAAAGUUGUGAGAACACUGUUGCUAGGCAACUGGAAAAGAUAGACACAGCGCACACGUUAUCUCACGACCGAAACUAAGAAUUUAACUAGAAAAGAAUCAUCACACAGACAUUUCCCUCAGGUGUGUGGGUACAUUUAUUAAUGAAGGGGUGUGUGAGAGUGUGUGUGAGAGUGUGUGUGAGAGUGUGUGUGAGAGUGUGUGUGUGAGUCUGUGUGUGUGAGCAGUGUGUGUGAGAGUGUGUGUGUGAGAGUGUGUGUGAGUGUGUGUGAGUGUGUGAGAGUGUUGUGUGAGAGUGUGUGUGUGAGAGUGUGUGUGUGAGACUGUGUGUGUGAGACUGUGUGUGUGAGACUGUGUGUGUGAGAGUGUGUCUGAGAGUGUUGUGUGAGAGUGUGUGUGAGAGUGUGUGUGAGAGUGUGUGUGAGAGUGUGUGUGACUGUGUGUGUGAGACUGUGUGUGUGAGACUGUGUGUGUGAGAGUGUGUGUGAGUGUGUGUGUGACUGUGUGUGUGAGACUGUGUGUGUGAGACUGUGUGUGUGAGAGUGUGUGUGAGAGUGUGUGUGUGAGAGUGUGUGUGAGAGUGUGUGUGUGACUGUGUGUGUGAGAGUGUGUGUGAGACUGUGUGUGUGAGAGUGUGUGUGAGAGUGUGUGUGUGUGUGUGUGUGUGUGUGAGAGUGUGUGAGAACAUAUUCACUGGUGUGAAAUGAUGUAAAAGUCAUGAAGGACGGAACACACUGUGGUUUUCUGUGGGAUGCUGCGUCAGCUCUGCCGCUGUGCCUGAUGCAUUAAAGACCUGAUUUAUUAUUUCUGAAUGAACGGAACGUUGCAGGCUGAUGAACAGAAGACGGAUGCAGCUGGACCCCGAGUCGAAUGCUGUAAGAUUCAUGAAGAGAUCUCUUUAAGCGCUGCGUGAACAUGUUCAUGUAGACCCGAAUCCUUGUGUUUUUUAAUCUGAUAUAAAACGCUUCAUUCGAAGACGCGGUGUUGUCUGAUUUAUUGGUGACGCUGUUACUCGUUUAGCGUGUACUUAAAGUCGUCCUGGGUUAAUAGAAGAAACAAAUAAACAAACUAACGUAUUAUAGUUAAGAACUAUGUUAUAUAUUAUAGUUUAAAAAAUCUUUAUUUCAAUUUUUAACGGUUUCUUUUUUAACGGCACGACAAAAAACGUAAAAUAAAUAAUAUUUUACAUCCAUUUUAUACUUUAUAUCUUAUAUUAAUGAUGUUACUGGGC
ensembl:lncRNA